GAUUUCUGGUUCGGCGCACUUGGCCCGUCUCGGUUUACGGGAUUGCGUGCCGGUGUGCGCCAUCCAUCCUUCGAUGAGAACAUUGCUGCCCUUUAUUGGGUUGGCAGUGCCUCUCUCGAUCUUUUACUUUGAAAAAAUUAGAGUGUCUAAAGCAGGCUUUAUGCUAUGAAUACAUUAGCAUGGAAUAAUAAUUUAGGACUUCGGUUCUAUUUUGUUGGUUUCUAGGACUGAAGUAAUGAUUGAUAGGGAUAGUUGGGGGUGCUAGUAUUCAGCGGCCAGAGGUGAAAUUCUCGGAUUCGCUGAAGACUAACUUAUGCGAAAGCAUU
rnacentral:rRNA from 1 species